rnacentral:lncRNA from 1 species
AUUUAUUUUAAAUUUUUUGUGAGGACGAUUGGCCCUGAGCUAACAUCUGUUGCCAAUCUUCCUCUUUUUGCUUGAGGAAGAUCUGCGCCCAGGAUCUGAAGCUGUGAACCCCAGCCCAGCAAAGUGGAGCACUCAAACUUAACCACUACGCCACCAGGCCAGCCUCGUGUAAAUGCUAUUCUUGUCAAAAAACUAAAGAGAAACUCCCUUCAUACCCCAGUCUUCAAGUGAUUUCCAUGGAGCUGAAAUGGUUUGGAGGAGAGAAGCAACUAUAUAGACAAGUUUUUAAAGUUUGGGAUGAUCUCAUUUGGGGAUGAAAAAGACGGCUGUGCACUGAGAAUUUCCCACAGAUUAUCUCUAUUUGGGAAAAAAUAUAAGCUGAUAUUGUCUUUAUUUUAGGUUACUGAAAGAUGAGCCACAUCUAAAUAUAUUCUAUUCAUUCAAUUCAACAACUAUUUAUUGAGCACACACUAUGUGCAGGAUACUGUUCUCAUCACUAGAGAUGGAACAGUGAACAAAACUGACAAAAAUUCCUACCCUGUGGAACUUACGGUCCAGCCGGAGCAAGGCUUGAUGAGUGGUGUGUAGGUCUGUGCCUGGCAUCUGAACCUGGAAACCCCAGACCACUGAAGCAGAGCAUGCAAACUUAACCACUACAUGGCCAGGCCAGCCCCAGACCUCAUUUGAAAGGUAUCAUUUGAGCAAAGACUUCAAGAAGGUGAGAAAGUUAAUAGUGUAGUUAUCUGCGGGAAGAAUGUUCCAGGUAGAGAGAACAGAAGAACGAGGUGACCAGUGUGUUUGGAGUAGAGUGAGGAGGAAAGCAGAAGGAGAUCAGGUCAGGGCGGUGAGGUGGGG